rnacentral:rRNA from 1 species
UUCGUAGGCGGCGCGGCAAGUCGGAAGUGAAAUCUCUGGGCUUAACUCAGAGGCUGCUCCCGAAACUGCCGUGCUCGAGUGCGGGAGAGGCGAGUGGAAUUGCAGGUGUAGCGGUGAAAUGCGUAGAUAUCUGCAGGAACACCCGUGGCGAAGGCGGCUCGCUGGACCGCAACUGACGCUGAGGAACGAAAGCUAGGGGAGCAAACAGGAUUAGAUACCCUGGUAGUCCUAGCCCUAAACGAUCAGGACUUGGGGUGCAUCCCGUUGGGGGUGCGUCCCGUAGCUAACGCGUUAAGUCCUGCGCCUGGGGAGUACGGUCGCAAGGCUGAA